rnacentral:tRNA from 1 species
AAUCUUAUAUUCAAAAAAUGAUAUCAGACUGCAAUUCUGAAGGUGUAGAUAGAUAACUAUUAAGGUUU